rnacentral:rRNA from 1 species
AUUGAACGCUGGCGGCAGGCCUAACACAUGCAAGUCGAGCGAGCGGCGGAUGGGUGAGUAAUGUCUGAGAACCCGCCUGAUGGAGGGGGAUAACCACUGGAAACGCUAGCUAAUACUGCAUACCAUCAGACGUGCCCAGUUGGGAUUAGCUAGUAGGUGGGGUAACGGCUCACCUAGGCGACGAUCCCUAGCUGGUCUGAGAGGAUGACCAGCCACACUGGAACUGAGACACGGUCCAGACUCCUACGGGAGGCAGCAGUGGGGAAUAUUGGACAAUGGGCGCAAGCCUGAUGCAGCCAUGCCGCGUGUGUGAAGAAGGCCUUCGGGUUGUAAAGCACUUUCAGCGGGGAGGCGGUACCCACAGAAGAAGCAACGGCUAACUCCGUGCCAGCAGCCGCGGUAAUAC